rnacentral:rRNA from 1 species
UACGUAGGGUGCAAGCGUUAAUCGGAAUUACUGGGCGUAAAGCGUGCGCAGGCGGUGAUGUAAGACAGUUGUGAAAUCCCCGGGCUCAACCUGGGAACUGCAUCUUUGACUGCAUCGCUGGAGUGCGGCAGAGGGGGAUGGAAUUCCGCGUGUAGCAGUGAAAUGCGUAGAUAUGCGGAGGAACACCGAUGGCGAAGGCAAUCCCCUGGGCCUGCACUGACGCUCAUGCACGAAAGCGUGGGGAGCAAACAGG